UCGGGAAUUUUGGGCAAUGGGCGAAAGCCUGAUCCAGCCAUGCCGCGUGAGUGAAGAAGGCCUUAGGGUUGUAAAGCUCUUUUACCAGGGACGAUAAUGACGGUACCUGGAGAAUAAGCCCCGGCAAACUUCGUGCCAGCAGCCGCGGUAAUACGAAGGGGGCUAGCGUUGUUCGGAAUUACUGGGCGUAAAGCGCACGUAGGCGGGUCGUUAAGUCAGGGGUGAAAUCCCGGAGCUCAACUCCGGAACUGCCUUUGAUACUGGCGAUCUAGAGGUCGAGAGAGGUGAGUGGAAUUCCGAGUGUAGAGGUGAAAUUCGUAGAUAUUAGGAAGAACACCAGUGGCGAAGGCGGCCAACUGGCUCGAUACUGACGCUGAGGUGCGAAAGCGUGGGGAGCAAACAGGAUUAGAUACCCUCGUAGUCCCUGAGCGGGCUGGCAAGGCGCAU
rnacentral:rRNA from 1 species